rnacentral:rRNA from 1 species
CGGGGUGCACCAGGCGCGAAAACUCUACAAUGCAGGCAACUGCGAUAGGGGAACAUCGAGUGAUCCUCAUAUUGGGGGUCUGUCCACCCGCCUAAAAAGCGGGUGUUAGCAAGGGCCGGGCAAGACCGGUGCCAGCCGCCGCGGUAAUACCGGCGGCUCGAGUGGUGGCCGAUAUUAUUGAGUCUAAAGGGUCCGUAGCCGGCUUUGCAAGUCUCUCGGGAAAUCCAGCGGCUUAACCGUUGGUCGUCCGGGGGGUACUACAUUGCUUGGGACUGGGAGAGGUAGGAGGUACUCAGGGGGUAGGAGUGAAAUCCUGUAAUCCUUUGGGGACCACCGGUGGCGAAGGCGUCCUACCAGAACAGGUCCGACGGUGAGGGACGAAAGCUAGGGGCACGAACCGGAUUAGAUACCCGGGUAGUCCUAGCCGUAAACGAUGCUCGCUAGGUGUCACAACAGUCGUGAACUGUUGUGGUGCCGUAGGGAAGCCGUGAAGCGAGCCACUUGGGAAGUACGACCGCAAGGUUAAACUUAAAGGAAUUGGCGGGGGAGCACAAGGGCGAAUNGC